GACGAACGCUGGCGGCGUGCUUAACACAUGCGAGUCGAACGGAAAGGCCCUGCUUGCAGGGUACUCGAGUGGCGAACGGGUGAGUAACACGUGGGUGAUCUGCCCUGCACUUCGGGAUAAGCCUGGGAAACUGGGUCUAAUACCGGAUAGGAGCCAUUUUUAGUGUGAUGGUUGGAAAGUUUUUUCGGUGUAGGAUGAGCUCGCGGCCUAUCAGCUUGUUGGUGGGGUAAUGGCCUACCAAGGCGGCGACGGGUAGCCGGCCUGAGAGGGUGGACGGCCACAUUGGGACUGAGAUACGGCCCAGACUCCUACGGGAGGCAGCAGUGGGGAAUAUUGCACAAGGGGCGCAAGCCUGAUGCAGCGACGCCGCGGGGGGGAUGACGGCCUUCGGGUUGUAAACUCCUUUCGCUAGGGACGAAGCUUUUUGUGACGGUACCUAGAUAAGAAGCACCGGCUAACUACGUG
rnacentral:rRNA from 1 species